AUGGGAACGCGAAGAACCUUACCUACUCUUGACAUCCAGAGAACUUAGCAGAGAUGCUUUGGUGCCUUCGGGAACUCUGAGACAGGUGCUGCAUGGCUGUCGUCAGCUCGUGUUGUGAAAUGUUGGGUUAAGUCCCGCAACGAGCGCAACCCUUAUCCUUUGUUGCCAGCGGUUCGGCCGGGAACUCAAAGGAGACUGCCAGUGAUAAACUGGAGGAAGGUGGGGAUGACGUCAAGUUAUCAUGGCCCUUACGAGUAGGGCUACACACGUGCUACAAUGGCGCAUACAAAGAGAAGCGACCUCGCGAGAGCAAGCGGACCUCAUAAAGUGCGUCGUAGUCCGGAUUGGAGUCUGCAACUCGACUCCAUGAAGUCGGAAUCGCUAGUAAUCGUAGAUCAGAAUGCUACGGUGAAUACGUUCCCGGGUCUUGUACACACCG
rnacentral:rRNA from 1 species